UACGGAGGGUGCGAGCGUUGUCCGGAAUCACUGGGCGUAAAGGGCGCGUAGGCGGCGCGGGGAGUCAACGGUGAAAGCUCGGCGCUCAACGCCGAGUCGGCCGUCGAUACUCCCGUGCUUGAGCACUGUAGAGGCAGGUGGAAUUCCGGGUGUAGUGGUGGAAUGCGUAGAGAUCCGGAAGAACACCGGUGGCGAAGGCGGCCUGCUGGGCAGUAGCUGACGCUGAGGCGCGACAGCGUGGGGGGGCAAACAGG
rnacentral:rRNA from 1 species